GCUGAGAGGAAGGCCUAAGGUAAAGAAGUUUCAAAAAUAUGUGUUUAUACUAGUUUCAGUCUUGAUAGGCCACAAACUCUUUGGUAGACUUGUUAAGUAUUGCUCUUACUAAAUAGCACCACAAUGAAGGAAAAGGUACUUUAAGAUUUAAAAUUAUAUACUGUUAAUCAAAAUGAGGAAAGGAAGGGAAAUUACCAAAGUGAAAUGCACAGACAGAGACUUUGAGCUAAGAAUCUUGUAUUUCCAUGGAGGCAGCCUUUCAUCUUGUUUUGGCAGUCAUAGAGUAAACACAAGACUUUGCUAAUAAGGUAUAAUAUAAAUUAUUAAAACUUCUAGUGUAUGAUCAAAUGCAUUUCAGAUUAUUUUUUGAAUAAUUCUGCCUUGACGACUGCCAGGAGUAAUAUAGUUUGUGUACUCUUGCACAGGCCCAUUGAUUGCUGUCUUUCUGAAACUCGAGUCCCAGAGCAAACCACCGUGCAUGGAAGAAAAUAUAAUCACAUCAAAACCUAAGAUUUGGCAUCUGUCGAUCACAACCUAGCUUUUUGUAAGAUCUCACUUCAUGUUAGUCAACAAAGACAUAAGAGAAACUCUUUAGCUCUGAGCUGAGGUUUUAAUAGAUUCAAAACAUUUCUUACAUGCAAAUUUCUUUUAUGGCUCAGGGGCACUGUUAGAGCUUGGAAGUGUUAGCUAACUGCUGUGAAAAACUUCUUGACUGAGCAUAUCUCAAGAUAAAUUAGACUUCUGAAUUUUUUAGCCCAACCAAGUACAUCACACACUUGUACUACUGGCUUUAAAAACACGGACUUUUGCAUAAUCAUGCACAACAAGUCUGUGUGACAAAUUUAAACAAAACAUGUUAAAAUAUGCAUUACAUCUCCUGCUGCACUAUUUGAAACUCUGGGCUAUUACACUUUAAAGGCAUUUUUCAGAUUUAAAGAAACAAACAGUUACUGAAGGUCACAGAGAUUACACAUCCAAAAAUAUGUCAAUUUAGUUUCAUUUAAUAGUUCUGGAAGACACACUUAGCUCUGUAGGUAUAAAGAAAACUCCUUUGAUUUAUUACUUUUAAAAUUCUACCAGCCUUCUGCAAAUGUGGAAUGCUGAUCUUAAAUUACAAAAUAAAUGGCACAGAAAAUAUUUUUUUUCUAAUGGAAUUAACAUGGUAAUUCCUAUAAGAAGCAUCCCUGUCAUCAUGUAUUUCAAUGAAUGUCCAGUAUGAUGCUGUUAAAAGAAAAUGCUGUCUAUAAGCAUGCUUGUGUCAGAUGUUAUCAGCUGUACACCAUUCCUAGGAAUUCCAAUACACACAGAGUUUACUUAACCAUUUUUAAAAAAUGAGAAACCUUGAUAAAAAAAAUAAAGCAGCCAGUUCCUUUUGCAAAGGAAUUUCAUGUUAUUUCUUCUUUUUGGGUUUUGAAAACAUCCAGGGAUGGACACCACAACCUCUCUGCACCUUUGUUCCCCUGCUGGAGCCCAUUCAUGGGAAAAUGCUUCUCUUUAUAUCCAUCUGAAGCACUCAUUUCAACCUAGGCCCAGUCUCUCAUCCUCCCCCAUGUGCCAAAGGGAAGCACCUGCCUUGGUCUUGUCAGGAACCCCUGUGCAGGCACUGGGAGGUCUCUGCUGAGGUCUCCUGAAGCCACCCCUGCUCCAGCCCUGAACAAGCCUCAGCUGCUCCUCACAGCCAGCUGCUCCGGCCCCUGACCAGCUCUGUGAUCCAAAUCUGAACUCCUUACAGUUCCCAGCUCCUCAUUUACAUCAAGAUCACUGCAAAUGACCCAGCCAAAGCAGGUCAGCAAUACUCCUAGAAGCUGGACCAAAUACAACUAUAGAGGUAAAAAUGGGAGGCUGUUGAGAUCGAUUGACCUUAAGCUCAUCUGCAUUAAAUCUGACAGUUCCUUCCAGCUGUCAUCCUUUAUGGAGACCAUUUUUAACUGGGGCCUGCCCCGACCUGCACAACAAGUCAGCAAAGUCUGUGUUCUUUCCAGUAACACCUGCAUGAUCUGUCUGAUUCCUUUGAUCAGCAUAGAAAAAACCACUUUGCUCACUGCUCAACUUUUACCUUGAUUACUACUAUAGUAGUUCCUCCUGUCCAUUCUCUUUUCCUUCUACUUCUCCUCAUUUCUCUCUUGCAUCAUCUGAUCAUGCAGUCUCUCAAAUAAACAAAGGCAGAGAUGCCACUAGGAACACAAAUCAUGUCAUACAGGCACACAUCGGGAACUUCCUCCUCCUACAUUAACAUUAAAUUCAAAUUUUAAUAUUCCUAUUUAGGAGUAUAAAAUGAAUUAAUUUUCUCUCUGUAAAUUCCCACCAUUACUGUAUGGCUGCAUUGGUGUUUUUCUUGGCAGACAUCUCCCUGCUCUCUUCCAUGUUCUUACCUAAGAGUAGACCCUUGCCUACCUACUUCUUUUUCCUCCUCCAGUCUUUCAGAUUAUUCCUUCAAUCAGCCCUGAAAAUUUAAAAAGCACUUAGAUGCUAGACAGAAGGCUGAGAAACUGGGGCUUUUAAAAUAACUUCCUUUGUGAUGUACACUUUGAGCAGGAAGGAAACAACCUAAAAGUCAAUAAGCAAAAGAAGCAAAAACAAGAGAAACAACCAAUUGUCAAAACACAAGCCAAAAACCACCUCCAAAAUGUUUAAAACACCGUCUUGUGCUGUUUUUCAUUAUACUCACUUGUUUUAGCCUGUUUCUUUAUAUUUACCAUUAAAUGUUUCCAGCCAGGACUUGACUCUUUUUUUACAUAUUUGUAUUUUGUGCUUCUAUUAAACUUAAUGACUCAGUAUCAUUCCACUACACAAACGCUGCACUGUCAAAAUAACCUGUCAUUCAAGGUCAGACAUGACAUCUUUAAAAAAACAGUGUGAUGCCUGGAUUCUGAGCUUUAUUUUUCUUGUAAUAAGGUGUGUGGGGUAUCAAUCACUCUGACAGAAUCAAAGGACACGACAACCAGCAUUCCAGCCAGCACCUGCAACCACAACAGAACUGAGAGAUCUUCUAAAGAGAAAAAGUUUGUGUUUCAAAAAUCACAGUCAACCAAGCAAUAACUUGAAAUGAAGAAUGAACAUAGCAGCACAAUGUGGUUAAAUUCAGGAUGGGCUUCUGCCACUAUUUAUCUUCCUGUGCAUUGGACAGUUUUAUGAAGGAGAUGGCAGGUACUUGCUUUGGGCACUUAUUUGGUAAUUAGCUGGCUAACAGACAAAUCUGCUUCCUAGAGAUCACCAGCACAGGCUUCAUGGCUUUGAAAAUACAUUACAGUGAAUUACAGGAUGCAUAUUAACUUGUAGUAACACUAGAUAUCAUUUUUCAGUAUGCAUACCACGACCUGUGUUAUUACAUGCCAUUCCAUAGGAUUCCAGCUUGCUCCUUCUUUAAAGGAUCACUGAGAUUUUUUUUUUUUUCCCAGGGUGGGGUGUUUUUUUAAAAUAAGAAUUUUAAGGUUGUGUUUAUAAUACAGUAAUUUUCCCAGUGUGUUUUGUUGUAUGAGGAAAGAAAGACAGCAUGUGAAUGUUCAAAGUCUGCUCUACAAGUGAGAAUAUUACAUGAAAUAUGGUAUACUUUUUUCACAGCACAAGCUUUCAGAGGCCAUCACCUUUUUGCUUCCAUUUUAAAUCUUGAAACAACAGCGACAAUUAUGUGGAGGUCAAUGGUAGCUACAGGCAAAGACACAAAAGGUUUUCAUCAGAAGGAGUACCCCAGUAAAAUGGAUAGCUAGAUCUGAAAAUGUAUAUUCAUGUCACAAGAACCACCAAUAUAACUGAAUGAUAUUCACGUAUCAACAGUGAAAUGAGUAAUACUAGUUUUACUCAAGGGAUGUUUUCUCUCAAAAUCAGGAAAGAUUUCAAAGAUCUUUCACAUACAGCAAAGUAGAAUAAACUGAUAUAUGUACAUAUUCUUGGCUAAAAGCCUCCCCCUUAAUCCUAGAAUAUGUCAUAAUCCUGAAUUUAUGGUGUUUUCAUUUCUUCCUACAGAACCAAGCAUUAAAAUGGAAUGCUCCUCAGAGACUUAUAUAAUACAACAACCUCAGAGACAAAGGAUACAGCCCUUCUUACACUUCCAUAUUAUGGGGAAGGAAAAAAAUAAAGAAGAUGGAAGUGCCUCCAGUGCCACAAUGCAAGCCAGCAAUCGGGUCUCUACAAUUCCUGUCUCAGAUUCCAGCUGCCAGCAGAAGCCAACAUAGCCUGUAAAAUCUUUUAUGUCUGUCAAGCUGAAAUUUUUAAAUAAUUUUCUUAAAGCUAGACAAUGCCUUAUUAUGCAGUCUCCUGACAAUUUAUCUUACAUUUAUUUUCACAGACUUUCCUGUCUAGGAUUAAACACCUCCAGUCCCUGGGAGUGCAGAUGCUCACCAAGCACAGCUGGAACCAGACCUUGGCAGAAAGAAGCAUUUAAUGUAAAGCCUAAAAUUUACAGUUAAUACAGUGUGACUGAUCUUGACCAACUUUGUGGGUUCAGUGAUAAAACAAAAGGUUUUCUUUUCA